rnacentral:rRNA from 1 species
AUUGAACGCUGGCGGCAUGCCUUACACAUGCAAGUCGAACGGUAACAGGUCUUCGGAUGCUGACGAGUGGCGAACGGGUGAGUAAUACAUCGGAACGUGCCCGAUCGUGGGGGAUAACGAGGCGAAAGCUUUGCUGAUACCGCAUACGAUCUACGGAUGAAAGCGGGGGAUCUUCGGACCUCGCGCGGACGGAGCGGCCGAUGGCAGAUUAGGUAGUUGGUGGGAUAAAAGCUUACCAAGCCGACGAUCUGUAGCUGGUCUGAGAGGAUGAUCAGCCACACUGGGACUGAGACACGGCCCAGACUCCUACGGGAGGCAGCAGUGGGGAAUUUUGGACAAUGGGCGAAAGCCUGAUCCAGCCAUGCCGCGUGCAGGAUGAAGGCCUUCGGGUUGUAAACUGCUUUUGUACGGAACGAAAAGCCUCUUUCUAAUAAAGAGGGGUCAUGACGGUACCGUAAGAAUAAGCACCGGCUAACUACGUG